GUGGCUCACAACCAUCUGUAAUGGGAUCCGGUGCUCUCUUCAGUGUCUUGCUGGUCUUGAACUCGAGCUCCUUCUUUGGCCUCCAGAAUGAUGAAAAUGUUCACUCAGGCAUCCACAGCUCCUGUCUUUAUCUGGAAAGAUGAUAAACACCCUAGUGUUUCACUGAGGACAAUAACCUUGAACUUCAAGCCUACUGCUCUCCCUGACCGUCUGCUGGGGCAUUUCCUAAGACUGACCAAACUACGCACAGGAAGAAAUGUUUGCAAGACUUUCCAGCCCACAGCCGACUUUCUAAAGCUCUCAGCACAGGAGCACAGAUGGAGAUGUUGGAGCGCCCGGGAGCUGGAGUCACAGAUGGUUCUGAGCUGCCUCAUGGUGAUGCUGGGAACCAAAGUCAGACAAUUGUCACCGUGGACCAUCUUCAGCUCCACAAGCCUGUUUAUUGAUGCUAGGAAUAAAGGAAAAAUGAAAGAGACCAAGAUGUGGUUCCUUCUCCUAUAUGAUCUGCAGAGUCAGAAAGAUACUAAACAAAUAAGCAAAGAAAUAAAAUACUCCGGAGUAGCAAAAUAUCCCUUAGAGGAGGCCUCCGGUGAGAGAUGCUGUAACACAGUGACCAGAGCAGAGGUGUCCCUGGUAAGCUAAACCCAUAAAGCUUCUAGAGGGGGUGGGUAGAGUAGGCAGGGUAGGGCGGAGGUGGACCGACCGGUAAGUUUUAAAACAGACUAGGAAGUCUUUUACAUACCAGCAGCUUGAACAUAUAUGGAAACGAUAAAAGUCCCAACCGUCUGUGACCCCAGCUCCAGAGCGUUCAACACUUCUAUCUGUGAGCACCCGUACUCAUGUCCACAUAACAGCACAUGCAUAAUUAAAAAUAUUAAAAAUUAAUCUUUUUUUAAAAAAGCAUCAGAUCACUAAAAAUGUACCAGGGUUGUUUUGGUAAACUAUAGCUGCCAGGACUGUUAACCUGGGAUUAACUGAAACAGCUUUCUGAUGGUACUAAUAAGAAUCACUCUACCUGACUAAGGUGUGAGCUACAGGGCCAGAGAGACGGCUCAGCAGUUAAGAGCACUGGCUAGGCUUCCAAAGGACAUGGAUUCAAUUCCCAGCACCCACAUGACAGCUCACAGUUGUCUGUAACUCUAGUUCCAGAGGACCUGGCACCCUCACACAGACAUUAGCAUUGGGAGGUACAAUUCCCUUAAUUAAGCCACUUAUAAAAGAGACCUUAGGCAAAACAUCAAGUACAUCUUGGAAAAAAAAAAAAAGAUGUCAACUAUACAUACAAGCCAAAGAAGACAUUACGAAACAAACAAGGGCUUAGAAGAUCAAAACUGUAUGCUCUCUUCCCUAGAGAGCUACUUAGGAUGAGCUCAAACCAGCUAAGAGAGGGAUGAGGGUCAAGGAUCUAAAGAAUGCUCAGCUUCAGAAACAAUGGUGCAGUGACCCAAGGGAAACUCAGGAGUCUUAUUCUUUUUUUUUAGUUUUUAGAUAUAUUUAUUGAA